UUAAAUUGAAGAGUUUGAUCAUGGCUCAGAUUGAACGCUGGCGGCAGGCCUAACACAUGCAAGUCGAACGGUAACAGAAAGCAGCUUGCUGCUUUGCUGACGAGUGGCGGACGGGUGAGUAAUGUCUGGGAAACUGCCCGAUGGAGGGGGAUAACUACUGGAAACGGUAGCUAAUACCGCAUAACGUCGCAAGACCAAAGAGGGGGACCUUCGGGCCUCUUGCCAUCGGAUGUGCCCAGAUGGGAUUAGCUAGUAGGUGGGGUAACGGCUCACCUAGGCGACGAUCCCUAGCUGGUCUGAGAGGAUGACCAGCCACACUGGAACUGAGACACGGUCCAGACUCCUACGGGAGGCAGCAGUGGGGAAUAUUGCACAAUGGGCGCAAGCCUGAUGCAGCCAUGCCGCGUGUAUGAAGAAGGCCUUCGGGUUGUAAAGUACUUUCAGCGGGGAGGAAGGGAGUAAAGUUAAUACCUUUGCUCAUUGACGUUACCCGCAGAAGAAGCACCGGCUAACUCCGUGCCAGCAGCCGCGGUAAUACGGAGGGUGCAAGCGUUAAUCGGAAUUACUGGGCGUAAAGCGCACGCAGGCGGUUUGUUAAGUCAGAUGUGAAAUCCCCGGGCUCAACCUGGGAACUGCAUCUGAUACUGGCAAGCUUGAGUCUCGUAGAGGGGGUAGAAUUCCAGGUGUAGCGGUGAAAUGCGUAGAGAUCUGGAGGAAUACCGGUGGCGAAGGCGGCCCCCUGGACGAAGACUGACGCUCAGGUGCGAAAGCGUGGGGAGCAAACAGGAUUAGAUACCCUGGUAGUCCACGCCGUAAACGAUGUCGACUUGGAGGUUGUGCCCUUGAGGCGUGGCUUCCGGAGCUAACGCGUUAAGUCGACCGCCUGGGGAGUACGGCCGCAAGGUUAAAACUCAAAUGAAUUGACGGGGGCCCGCACAAGCGGUGGAGCAUGUGGUUUAAUUCGAUGCAACGCGAAGAACCUUACCUGGUCUUGACAUCCACGGAAGUUUUCAGAGAUGAGAAUGUGCCUUCGGGAACCGUGAGACAGGUGCUGCAUGGCUGUCGUCAGCUCGUGUUGUGAAAUGUUGGGUUAAGUCCCGCAACGAGCGCAACCCUUAUCCUUUGUUGCCAGCGGUCCGGCCGGGAACUCAAAGGAGACUGCCAGUGAUAAACUGGAGGAAGGUGGGGAUGACGUCAAGUCAUCAUGGCCCUUACGACCAGGGCUACACACGUGCUACAAUGGCGCAUACAAAGAGAAGCGACCUCGCGAGAGCAAGCGGACCUCAUAAAGUGCGUCGUAGUCCGGAUUGGAGUCUGCAACUCGACUCCAUGAAGUCGGAAUCGCUAGUAAUCGUGGAUCAGAAUGCCACGGUGAAUACGUUCCCGGGCCUUGUACACACCGCCCGUCACACCAUGGGAGUGGGUUGCAAAAGAAGUAGGUAGCUUAACCUUCGGGAGGGCGCUUACCACUUUGUGAUUCAUGACUGGGGUGAAGUCGUAACAAGGUAACCGUAGGGGAACCUGCGGUUGGAUCACCUCCUUACCUUAAAGAAGC
rnacentral:rRNA from 1 species